CUCAACCUGGGAAUGGCAUUCGAUACUGUCCAGCUAGAGUCUGGUAGAGGGAAGUGGAAUUUCCGGUGUAGCGGUGAAAUGCGUAGAUAUCGGAAGGAACACCAGUGGCGAAGGCGACUUCCUGGACCAAGACUGACGCUGAGGUGCGAAAGCGUGGGUAGCAAACAGGAUUAGAUACCCUGGUAGUCCACGCCGUAAACGUUGAGAACUAGCCGUUGGACCCAUUUAAGGGUUUAGUGGCGCAGCUAACGCAAUAAGUUCUCCGCCUGGGGAGUACGGCCGCAAGGCUAAAACUCAAAGGAAUUGACGGGGGCCCGCACAAGCGGUGGAGCAUGUGGUUUAAUUCGAUGCAACGCGAAGAACCUUACCUGCCCUUGACAUCCUCGGAACUUGGUAGAGAUACCUUGGUGCCUUCGGGAGCCG
rnacentral:rRNA from 1 species